UGACGAGUUUGAUCCUGGCUCAGAACGAACGCUGGCGGCAGGCCUAACACAUGCAAGUCGAGCGAGGUAGCAAUACCUAGCGGCGGACGGGUGAGUAACGCGUGGGAACGUACCCUUUGCUACGGAAUAGCCCCGGGAAACUGGGAGUAAUACCGUAUGUGCCCUUCGGGGGAAAGAUUUAUCGGCAAAGGAUCGGCCCGCGUUGGAUUAGGUAGUUGGUGGGGUAAUGGCCUACCAAGCCGACGAUCCAUAGCUGGUUUGAGAGGAUGAUCAGCCACACUGGGACUGAGACACGGCCCAGACUCCUACGGGAGGCAGCAGUGGGGAAUCUUAGACAAUGGGCGCAAGCCUGAUCUAGCCAUGCCGCGUGAGUGAUGAAGGCCUUAGGGUUGUAAAGCUCUUUCAGAUGGGAAGAUAAUGACGGUACCAUCAGAAGAAGCCCCGGCUAACUCCGUG
rnacentral:rRNA from 1 species